AAUCUGUUAAUUGUAUAUAACCUAUGUUUUAUGGUUUACCAACUGAAUUUAUCUUGUUAAUUUAAUUGAGUUUUAUCUAUCAUAUAUAUACAGGUCUGACUACCACCCUUAAGGAAAAUAUUUAAGGUGGAGUCAUGGAGCUCGGGCCACUCAGCAGAAGCUAUAGAUAUGAAGGAAAAUUCAUUGCCAGAACCACAGCACCAAAAUCUUAAGAUUGAGAAGAGCCAUAUUCAAGAAGCCUCAUCUACCUGGAUCUGAUUUAGAUGCUGAAAAUCUAUACUUCAAGCCUAAGCCUGAUGCAGUAAUAGCAUUAGCCAAGGAUCUUAGAAGGGGAGUAAGUAUAGUCUGCAUGUAGGAGGCACAUGAAUUAUUUGGGGGGUAGAGAUAGUUAAUCUAUGGUGGUUAAUCUAUGGACCUUGCAUUAGUUCCAAGCCUAAGUCUUAAGAGGACUCGAAGCUUCUGGUUUUGUAUAUUGGAAGCCCCAAGCUGCAACAUAAGAAAUUGAGCUGCCCUGCUAGAGGCAGCAUGGAGAAAGAAAGAGAUAAUCCCUAAGGUUACAUAACAGUGGUGGUGGGGAGUGGGAAGAGAUACAUCAAACUAGAUAUUCAAGCAUCUCAACCAAACCCAGAUUUACAGCUGUCCCCAUCAAAGUGUAAAACAUGUAAGUGUACCUCAUGAGUGUUCCAGCCCAAUUGAGCUCCUAAAUGAUUAUGAGCCUACCCAACAUUAAGUGGAACAAAACAACUUCCCAGCUGAGCACAAUCUUAUAGAGAAUCUUCUAAAGAUAAGAAAAUGAUUAUUUUAGGCCACUAAGCUUUGGAGUGAUUUGUUAUACAAUAAUAAGUAACUCACUUAUCAAAUGAAAACUGAAUAUUUUGGAAGUCAGACUCGAUAGAGAAAUUAAAAGGCAAACUACAAACUAUGAAAAAGUAUGUGUCAUGAACAUACCACUGGUUAAUAUCCUUAUAAUGAAAAAGAGCUCACUGUGAAACCUCAACCUAAUCAUCAAGUACUCAACAGAAAACAAUGGACAAAGGACAUGAUCUGUUUACUCACAGCAGGGACAAUCAAAACAGCUAAUAAGUAUGAAAAAGUUCUAAUCAUUAUUUAAAAGAUCAUUAAUAUUCAAAUACUAUUGGUGAGAAGGUAGAGUGGUAAGAUCUUUCUAGAGAGCAAAUCUGCCAAAGGCCAUCUCUAGAAAUACAUGAGGGCAUAAUCACAGAUCCAAAGAAACAGCUACAGAAAGGAUGUUAAUUUCAAAUCGAAUAUCCAACAAUAUAGAAAAUGUUUAAGGAAAGUAUUAAGUAUCUAUAUUUGAGGGUAUUCUACAUCUUUCAGGUUUUUAAGAAAAUUCAGGUAACAUGCUUAUAAUGUCAAGUUUUAAAAAGCACAAUAUAAAAUUAUUUUUAUAUAUACAUAUAUACACCCAUAUUAUUUUGAUCCAAGUUUUUAAAAAUAAAUGAAAAAUAUGCUUAUAUAUAAAUACCAAGGCUGAAAGGAAAUAAAAUUGUUAAAAGUGGCAGUAGGAUUAUAACUACUUUUGUUGUCUGUGCAUCUAUUUUCUAAAUUUUCUAUAACUAUUAUUUUCACAUUCAGUAAAAACAAGAAUGUUAUUCUUUAUAAGUUACACUGGUUAAUCUACUGAUCAAGGUACUUAAGAAUAGUUCCCCAACUGGAGAUAUUUAAUAAAAUUAUCUUUUGGAAUUUGGGAGAGAAUUUAGAAAUGACCUGAUAUGAUCUACCAUUCAACAGAUGAGAAAAUAGAUCUAGAGAUUUAGGUGCCCAAACUUGUUGAAGUAUUCAGAGGCAGAACCUUACUUAGAAUUCAGAUUGUUUAUCCACUGGCCAGUACACAUGUUUACACUCCUUUAGGAGCUACCUAUAAUAGUGAUUCAAAUAAGAACUAAAGAUCUAAGUAUUUUGGAGGAUGAAAGGCUGAGGUGCAAUACCUAAUUUUCCCUAAGAAAAGACAACUCUGGGCAGACGAGUGUCUUUUAUGGUCAAUUACUCUAGUGGGGAAGAACUAAAGA